AGAGUUUGAUCCUGGCUCAGCGCGAACGCUGGCGGCAUGGCUAAAACAUGCAAGUCGAACGCGAAAGUGGAGCUUGCUCCACGAGUAGAGUGGCGAAAGGGCGAGUAAUGCGUUCCUAACGUGCCCCAAGGUCAGGGAUAGCUCGGGGAAACCCGGGGUAAUACCUGAUGAUCUCGGCUGAUCGCAUGGUCGGCCGGGCAAAGGCUUGCUGCCUUGGGAUCGGGGAACGUGCUAUCAGUUUGUUGGUGAGGUAACGGCUCACCAAGACUAAGACGGCUAGCGGGUGUGAGAGCAUGACCCGCCGCAUCGGGACUGAGACACUGCCCGGACUCCUACGGGAGGCUGCAGUAACGAAUCUUCCGCAAUGCGCGAAAGCGUGACGGAGCAAUGCCGCGUGCAGGAUGAAGCCCCUCGGGGUGUAAACUGCUGUCAGGGUGCAGGAACACAAUGACCACACCCAAAGGAAGGGCCGGCUAACUUCGUGCCAGCAGCCGCGGUAAUACGAAGGGCCCAAGCGUUGCGCGGAAUUACUGGGCUUAAAGGGUGCGUAGGCGGACCC
rnacentral:rRNA from 1 species